AUACGUGGGUGGCAAGCGUUAUCCGGAAUUAUUGGGCGUAAAGCGCGCGUAGGCGGUUUUUUAAGUCUGAUGUGAAAGCCCACGGCUCAACCGUGGAGGGUCAUUGGAAACUGGAAAACUUGAGUGCGGAAGAGGAAAGUGGAAUUCCAUGUGUAGCGGUGAAAUGCGCAGAGAUAUGGAGGAACACCAGUGGCGAAGGCGACUUUCUGGUCUGUAACUGACGCUGAUGUGCGAAAGCGUGGGGAUCAAACAGGAUUAGAUACCCUGGUAGUCAAGGGCG
rnacentral:rRNA from 1 species